AACAAUGACGAGAUAAAGGGUGUGUUUUAACACCGAAACAGCCAAUCCAAAGUAAGAUUAACAACAACAAUAUGAAGACAAAAUGAACAACAACAAGGAUAUAACAAUGACAACAAGUCACGGGUUACAAUACUAGAACAAGAACACCAACGAUUAGAACAAAGUAAAGAUAUAAAGAUAGACAAAUGGAAAUGUAAUAUUAACAACCCAAGAGCUUAUCCCACUCUUGGACCCUUAAUACCACACACAACAUAAACCUAUCUCUUACGUGACCUCAAGGGAACCGGAAUCCCCA
rnacentral:lncRNA from 1 species